rnacentral:rRNA from 1 species
AAUUGAAGAGUUUGAUCAUGGCUCAGAUUGAACGCUGGCGGCAGGCCUAACACAUGCAAGUCGAGCGGUAGCACAGAGAGCUUGCUCUCGGGUGACGAGCGGCGGACGGGUGAGUAAUGUCUGGGAAACUGCCUGAUGGAGGGGGAUAACUACUGGAAACGGUAGCUAAUACCGCAUAACGUCGCAAGACCAAAGUGGGGGACCUUCGGGCCUCAUGCCAUCAGAUGUGCCCAGAUGGGAUUAGCUAGUAGGUGGGGUAACGGCUCACCUAGGCGACGAUCCCUAGCUGGUCUGAGAGGAUGACCAGCCACACUGGAACUGAGACACGGUCCAGACUCCUACGGGAGGCAGCAGUGGGGAAUAUUGCACAAUGGGCGCAAGCCUGAUGCAGCCAUGCCGCGUGUGUGAAGAAGGCCUUCGGGUUGUAAAGCACUUUCAGCGGGGAGGAAGGCGUUAAGGUUAAUAACCUCAUCGAUUGACGUUACCCGCAGAAGAAGCACCGGCUAACUCCGUGCCAGCAGCCGCGGUAAUACGGAGGGUGCAAGCGUUAAUCGGAAUUACUGGGCGUAAAGCGCACGCAGGCGGUCUGUCAAGUCGGAUGUGAAAUCCCCGGGCUCAACCUGGGAACUGCAUUCGAAACUGGCAGGCUAGAGUCUUGUAGAGGGGGGUAGAAUUCCAGGUGUAGCGGUGAAAUGCGUAGAGAUCUGGAGGAAUACCGGUGGCGAAGGCGGCCCCCUGGACAAAGACUGACGCUCAGGUGCGAAAGCGUGGGGAGCAAACAGGAUUAGAUACCCUGGUAGUCCACGCCGUAAACGAUGUCGAUUUGGAGGUUGUGCCCUUGAGGCGUGGCUUCCGGAGCUAACGCGUUAAAUCGACCGCCUGGGGAGUACGGCCGCAAGGUUAAAACUCAAAUGAAUUGACGGGGGCCCGCACAAGCGGUGGAGCAUGUGGUUUAAUUCGAUGCAACGCGAAGAACCUUACCUGGUCUUGACAUCCACAGAACUUUCCAGAGAUGGAUUGGUGCCUUCGGGAACUGUGAGACAGGUGCUGCAUGGCUGUCGUCAGCUCGUGUUGUGAAAUGUUGGGUUAAGUCCCGCAACGAGCGCAACCCUUAUCCUUUGUUGCCAGCGGUCCGGCCGGGAACUCAAAGGAGACUGCCAGUGAUAAACUGGAGGAAGGUGGGGAUGACGUCAAGUCAUCAUGGCCCUUACGACCAGGGCUACACACGUGCUACAAUGGCAUAUACAAAGAGAAGCGACCUCGCGAGAGCAAGCGGACCUCAUAAAGUAUGUCGUAGUCCGGAUUGGAGUCUGCAACUCGACUCCAUGAAGUCGGAAUCGCUAGUAAUCGUAGAUCAGAAUGCUACGGUGAAUACGUUCCCGGGCCUUGUACACACCGCCCGUCACACCAUGGGAGUGGGUUGCAAAAGAAGUAGGUAGCUUAACCUUCGGGAGGGCGCUUACCACUUUGUGAUUCAUGACUGGGGUGAAGUCGUAACAAGGUAACCGUAGGGGAACCUGCGGUUGGAUCACCUCCUUA